rnacentral:rRNA from 1 species
UGGGGAAUUUUCCGCAAUGGGCGAAAGCCUGACGGAGCAAUACCGCGUGAGGGAAGAAUGCCUAUGGGUUGUAAACCUCUUUUUUCAGGGAGGAAUAUAAUGACGUGUACCUGAAGAAUAAGCAUCGGCUAACUCC